UCACAUAAAUAUAAAGUUUGUGGCUGUUGAGUGCAUAUUGUCCUAUUUUGAACUUAUUUGCUUUACAUGCUGGCAGGGUGCUUGCAGAUGGACAUAUCCCAUGGGCAUGUGAGGCCUUCACAAGAUUGCAUGGACACGACCUUUUCCUAGCCCUAGCUCUGAUGUGGUGUUGGAGAUUAUUUAUGAUCAAACUGUGGAAUCAUGGUCUACUUGAUGCACGAACGAUGAACUUGUGUAAUAUGAUUCUCGAACAAUACCAAAAGCAGGACUUGGAUCCUAUGAAAAACUAGAAACACGUGGUGUUUUUUGCGUGGACAAGGAGGAAUAAAAUUUGCUUUCCCAUCUAUUAAUUUGUUCUUGCAUUUAAUUGUGGGGCACAAUUGCAUACCUUGCCUUUUUUCUCUGUUAUUUUGUAUAAUGUUCCUGUUGAUCAACUUAGAGGGUGUUUGGGAGGGUGGUGGCUUGUGUGAUUUCUCCCAAACUCCCUCUUAUCAAUGUUUAAUUUAAAAAUUGAACUGGGGU